UAAGGAUAAUGUGUUUUGGUCCACCAGCUAACCCUUCUUCUUCCGGUUGCAUACGGACACUCCCUGCAGAAGCACUCCAUCAACGUGAGAAGGGACGUCUUCCGUUCCGAUCCCCCUUCCAAUAACAGAGGCCCAAAACCUCCAGAUCACUUCGUUUCCUCAAGACUGUUCGGGGUGUACUGCGUUUCCUCCGUUGGCGUGUCCUCGUCAAAGGCCUCGGGAACGACAAGGAACGCCAAGAAGGCUUUUAUGAUCGCGUUGAAUCGGCGUCGAUGCCACUUUUAUGCUCGGGGUCACCAUCAACGAAGAUUGGCGGUGCAACGUUGCAGUCGUUCCUUAUCAUGGAGUCGGACAGCGCAGGAAACGAGUGCAGUUACCACGGGGAGAGACCGUUGCGGCAGAUAAAUCUCCUUUUGUUACGCGAUAUGGCCACAGACGCAUGGGAAGAAUAAAUCUGUCGGCGUUUGCACGA